rnacentral:lncRNA from 1 species
AUGUAUGUAUGUGUUCACAUAUAUUUUAUGUUCUCACUCGGUUUUAAUAUUUUAUUGCAAGUUUUGCACUUAAGCAGAUUACUACUUUUUUUCUUUUUCUUUUUAUUAUUAUUAUUAUUAUUGUUAUUAUUAUUAUUAUUAUUAUUAUUAUUAUUAUUAUUAUUAUUAUUAUAUUUUUGUUUAUUAUUUUCAUCAUUCAAAUUUUCUUUAUGUAUAUUGUUUUUUAUAUGAUUAGGUCUGUUGCUUGUAUUAUUCCCCAUAACUCCACCAGUCGUUUUAUUCUCACCAUAUGCUACAAUAGCAAUAUCUGCUAUUAUAUUAUUAAGCUUACUAUCACACAUAUAACCGUUUCUUUUAUUUAAAUUAAUAAUAUUAACAUUAUCACAUAUAUUGUUCCUAUUUUUACUACUCUUUUUUAAUUUCAUUUUAUUAGUUAUAAUCUGAUUCGUUUCGUUCUUAUUGUUCAAACUACUUACAUUGUUUGAACCACUUGUGUCUAUUCUAGUAACAUUAUUUUUGUUAUUAUUAGAUAUACUAUCUGUCUCCUUCAUAUUACUACCAUUAUUAUUUGUAUUUUCUAUAUCUUUUAUUAUUAAUUUUUCCUUAUUCUUUACUCCUUUUUCUUUUUCUUUUUGUUCAUUAGACAUAUUUGGAGCUAUAUCCAUUAUAAGCCAAAUUAUUUUUUUUUUAAUUCCUCCUCGCGAUUUAUUUUUAUAAUUUCUUCGUAUUCCAUUGUUUUGCUAAAACUUGAUGAUGUGUCACUCAUUGCGUUAUUAACGGUGGUAUCCGAAGUAGCAUCAAUGGUAACAGUACUGAUAGUGUUACAAGUAACACCAUCCGUUGCAUCUGUAAUUUUAUUUGCAUUUUUAUCUGCAUUUUUAUCUGCAUUUUUAUCUGCAUUUUUAUCUGCAUUUUUAUCUACAUUUUUAUCUGCAUUUUUAUUUGCAUUUUUAUCUAU